GAUGAAGAACGCAGCAAAAUGCGAUAAGUAAUGAGAAUUGCAGAAUUCAGUGAAUCAUCGAAUCUUUGAACGCACAUUGCGCCCGCUGGUAUUCCGGCGGGCAUGCCUGUUCGAGCGUCAUUUCAACCCUCAAGCCCCCGGGUUUGGUGUUGGGGAUCGGCUCUGCCCUUCUGGGCGGUGCCGCCCCCGAAAUACAUUGGCGGUCUCGCUGCAGCCUCCAUUGCGUAGUAGCUAACACCUCGCAACUGGAACGCGGCGCGGCCAUGCCGAAAAACCCCAACUUCUGAAUGUUGACCUCGGAUCAGGUAGGAAUACCCGCUGAACUUAAGCAUAUCAAUAAGCGGAGGA
rnacentral:misc_RNA from 1 species